rnacentral:lncRNA from 15 species
AUGUGUGAAGAAACAUCAGUCCUGUGGGCAGACGCCGAGAGGGUGAAAACUCCAAAACGCAUGAGCUGGAAGCUUUCUGCUUGUUCGCUGGCUCAGAUCUCACAGCUCGCUCUACGAAGAAAACCCCCGCUGGCCUGUGUUGUUACUUAUGAAGUGAAAUCUUUCGCAGGUGGAGGACCGUCCUCUGUUGAGGAAUGGGAGUGGAACGCCUUUUCUCAUUUCAGCACUUGGACAGCUCCCGGUUCCGUUACGCGCAAGCGCGAGGGGCUUAAAAGUGCUGAACAGCAACCUGCAUCCUCACAGAGAUAUGAAAAGUGUAAACAAAGGACGCACCAGCGAGAAGCCGCUGGGAGAGUAUUUGGUACCCCGGUUGCCCUGGAAACAGAUUUCCGAGGCACAUCAUUGGAAAUGCUGAAAGGUUGGCCUCCCAGAGCGAGACGGAAGAGAGCUGACUGACUGACAGAGACACAGACGGAGACGGCAGGAAAUAUACUACUACAGGCUGGCUAAAGCCCAAGGGUGGCGGUACAGAGGUUCAGUAGGCCACCACACUGAUUCAGUCAUUACUAUUCAAUAUAUAUGUAUAUACGCUCUUGGUAUUGAUACAGAGGCUGCAUGAGGACCUGGCAGUGUGAUGAUGUGAGUGGGCUGUGAGGCUUCAUGGACCACAGGCAUGAAUGACUCAUUCCACAUGAACACACAGGCAUGUGCUGUGGAGGAAACAGCUAAACUUUAGUGAGAAAAAAAGGAGGUAUUUCAUUCACAUCAGGCCGACCAAGGGCAUCAUGUUGUGAGAUUAUUCACAGCCCAUCACAUGCCUCAAUGCUGCGACAUGCUUGGGGCCAUAUUACACUUUAGUCUGACACUUGGUUACUGACCAGUUUCCAGAUCAUUUUGGCCGGUCUCAGCCUGAGGACCAGUCAUCCUGUGUUCUGAUCCUCCUCCACUUUUAAUGCUGAAGUCCAUAUUACGAGUGUCACAUUGUGGUUGGGAAUGUAUGGCUUGGUCUGGUCUGGGGAUUUAACAUUGUGGUGUUAUCAGAUGUCAUGUGCAUUGGACUCCAUGAAUACUGAAUGCCUUAUGAAUUAUAUACCAGCAGGCACGUAGCUGCUGUAUAGCCAUAGUUCGUUUGGGAAACAAACUAAUUUAAGCUUUGCAUUGCAAGUGUCACAAUAAGCAGCACAUCGUCCAGAUUCAUGUGGAUGACUCUAAAUGUCACUGUGCCUGAUCCAAGGCAGAAAUAACAUCUAUAAAACCAGAUUUUUUUUUGUGAAGUUGCUUUAAUGAAUACAUUUCCUACUGGUAAGGGCCAAAAUUCUCUUUGCACUCAAGUCAUUUAUUCCCCAUCUCUGAGACAGCUGCAGUAGGCUGUAUCUAUGUAAUGACAACCAACCAGGGCUUCAAUUGGCCAUUAGUUUCCAUAAGGAAAAGACGGCGGGCCAGGUGGGUCACAUAAUUAAAGGAGAACAAGUCAAAUCUGCGUGUCAUUAAGGGGAGAGAGAGAUGUAGUGUGGCUCUCUCUAUCUCUCUGUGAGAAGGAGAGGAUAAAACAGAGCAAUCCUUUUGACUAGAACUGUCUGUCUGGCUCAUUUAUCUAGCAGUUUCCACACAGCCAUUAAAAUUAUAGACUCAAGACAGGCGAAGGCGCUAUUUUAAAGCUGCCCACACACAACAAAGAUUCUUCUGUCUGUAUUCUAUGGGGAAUUAAGGGUUUUACAUCAUCUGGUUUAUUGUGUUGUCUAAAGGGAUUUGCUGCUCAAUUUAUAACUUUAAAAUGAAAUCUAUUGUAAUCUCUCUGUUAUAAUAUUACACCCCAAAAUAAUACACAUAUCAGUUUAGCCUACAGUAACAUUUGUACACAGAGUUGUUGUUUAAGUAGAACAGGGUUGAAGCAGGAACCUGCUCCAUGUAGCGUGUGGAUGUUGUCAUUGAUCCACCUCAAUAACUGAGGAGUUGUGGACUGGCUGGUGAGCUCACCUGGAAACAACAAGCAGGCUUUACCACCCCGAUGCUCAUGUGCACUGGACUGGAGACAAUUGAGAGCUGCAGAGUAUCUAUUGCUCCAUCGAUUCCUUGUAUCUUUAUCCCACUUAAUGACUUUUUCGCUCUAUAAUUCAACUCAUGGAGCUGAUCCCGGGGCCUAGCAGGGAUACAGAGAAGUAACUGUGGUGGGAGCUAUUUUGAUGAGACAACGCAACAUGCCGGAGGAGGAGGGCAAAGGAUUUAAUGAGUGGAUUCUUGAAGAGAAGGAAGGAUUUGUGAAUUCUCUAGUGCCACAACACCCAACACACUUAUCAUAAUCUCUCUGUCAUAGCAAAAUGAAGCUAUUUUGAGGGCCUUGUGGCAUACAAGAGACUGAUAAACAUGUUCAGAGUAUACACACAUCCUGGCCGCAACACAGAUACAUGGACAAAUGUGCUCUCUAUGUAUAUAGUAUAGGAGCUACAGAGUCAUGUGAACCACGGGUGAAUGAACAGCCUAAAUGCCUGUGAGGAUGUUGCUCCUUGGGCCAUGUUAUUCUUCUGGCCAAGAGAAGAGAGCAAUGUUGGUCUUCACUAAGACUCAUCUGUCAAUCACAGCUUUCCUUCAUCAGUGGGAGCGACCUGACAGCCGCAGAGCCUUUCUCCAUCACUGAGCACUGAAAACCUGCUGAUCCCCCAGUCUAGACCCCCAUACACGCUCCACAGUCACUCUGUCUCUGCACAUCCAAACAGCUGAAUAAAAUCACUUUUACAAGACGUAUACAUCAUAUCGAACACUCAAGACCGCGUGCAGUUUGUCAAGCAAUGGCUCUUCAACUGAACUCUGAAUCCGUCAUGUUUACCCCCAGAUCUGCGUGUUAGGAUGUCUCCCCUGAGUUCCAGUUUCUGUGCAGUCACCCAAACCCUAAACAGCACACAUACACACAUACUUUUUUCCUGGCCAAUGUCUGCUCAUGUUGACACUGGCUCACAAUUUAUCUAUUUCUAGCUCGCAGGCUUGUCUCGUUGAGCGUUGUCACUGGAGUUGUGCAGCUGUCAAAGUGAUGCAAGAAUAGAUUGAAGAUUGAAUGCAAUUUCGAUCGCAGAACUGGUUUACAUCAGUUUUCUUUCCUUUUAGAGCUGCUUAGAUGUAUGUUAUAGGACCAAUUACCCACAAGAGGGACACUGGCAGAGCGGCAGAGCCUUUUCCCUGGCUUUUUUAGAUAUUUAUGGGGAAACUAAUCUCUUAUAUGCAGAGUCUUGUGUUGAAUAUUAAUGUGUGUUGAUAUUCCACCCUAAUGUGACCAUUUUUAAACCGUGGUUGCAAAAUGCCUGUGGCAGGGAAUACUGUUAAACUCAGCUGGUUGCAACAUCUCUGUCAGGAGAAGCAGGGAGCGUUAUGAUUGUUGUCUGUUGUCAUAUAGCGGAGUAUGUGCAGGUAUAUGUCAAAGGCUCACUGUUAGAAUACAAGACAUGAUGUGCUUGCACAAACAUAGAAGUGAUUAGCAUGCAGUCUGUCACGUGGAAGAACACAUUAAAGAUGAGUGACUGUCAGACUCAAAAUGUAUCCAGUUCUGUAGAAGUAAGUAACAUACUGUACGAGGGAGGAUUAUCUAUGUUGUUUUCAGCCUCAGUGGGGCAUUUAAACUAAAAUAUAGCACCUACAGGUAAAGCAUUACAUGUUUAGCUUGUGAGCUUAGCUGCUUUGUGUGUCAUCCUGAAGUAAAAGAUGGCUGGCAGUACACAGAAACACUGUUCUCUAUUAUCAAGCAUCAGUGUCUUCUUGAAUGGACACUUGCCAUGUCUCUUCUCCUACUCAUCACAUUUGGUUUGCUUUAAAGUGUCAGAACAUAUUGAAGGUUUACUAUAUUCACAGCUGUGCCACCACAACUGUACUUACUUUGAAUUUUUCUUUUAAAACUUUAUCAGAUUUCUCAUCAUGAAUCUGACUAGUUUCUAGCAUGUUGUCAUUCUUGAGUUAAUAAUUCCUUUCAAACCCAAAAGUCUGCCUCAAAACAGCAUACUUUUAUUUUUGUUCAUUUUUCAGAAUUCAGAUGUUACAUUUCUCAUGAAUAAUGUUCUAUGUCAUUUACACGGAUGAGUGCUAUAAUGUUAUCAGCGAUCCCAUUGUAGCUCACACCUUAAAUUCUGAAUUUUUGGAAAAGACUUCAGAGGCUGAACUGCUUCUUUAACAUAGUGUGAAAAAUAUACAAAUAAAACAAGAUCCUUGAACUAAACUGAUAGUUUAAUUUGUACAAUUUUAAUGAAAGUGUCAAAUCAGUUUGUACCAUAGGUCCUUCUGAAACAGAGCCACGCUGUCUUAUUCAAAUGUACCACUAUUGACUGACUUUACGAAUAAUGUACAAGAUACUGAAGACAUCUUAAUGUUGAGCUCAUUUAUGGAUGAUGCAAUCCAUAAAUCAUGUCAGUAUAUCUUCAUCUUCUCCGCUCCUCCUCCAGCAAAAGAUGUGAGAUACAGUGUAAAGCAUACAGCUAGUGCCAUGACUGGUUGAUGUUUA